rnacentral:ncRNA from 1 species
CAGAAUCAGCGGGGAAAGAAGACCUUGCUGAGCUCGACUCUAGUCGGACUCUGUGAAGAGACAUGGCGGGUGUAGUAAUUAGUUGGAGGCGGGAAUCGCCCUUCGGGGUCUCUCGUUCAACACUGAAAGACCACUCCCAUCCUUGUUUCUUUACUUUUUAAAUGAAGCGGGAACCGUCCAUUAUUUUCCAUUUUGACAUUUAACACACUUAAGUGCAUUGUUCGCAUCCCGUGUGUGGCUGGCGUGCCGGCGUCUUGGUCGAAACUGUCUGGCCAGGGCUAGUGAUAUGCGUGUUUUUCCCUCAACUGCCUGUAGGUUGUUACCGCAAGUUGGUAGUCCAUAGCUGGUAGACGGUGGGCGUGUGUGUCCCAUCUUGUUGCUAUCAGGCAGGUUUGGCGAAGUGCGACCCGACCUGAAGACAAUGUCAGGCGGGAGUUUGACUGGGGCGAUGCAUCUGUCAAAUCGUAACGCAGGUGUCCCAAGGUGAGCUCAGCCAGGACAGAAACCUGGCGUAGAGUAAAAGGGCAAAAGCUUACUUGAUUUUGAUUUUCAGUACGAAUACAGACUGUGAAAGCGUGGCGUAUUGAUCCUUUUGAUCAACCGAUAUUCAGAUUUUGAAGCAAGUGGUGUCAGAUAAAGAACCACAGGGGUAACUGGCUUGUAGCGGCCAAGCGUUCAUAGCGACGUCGAUUUUUGAUCCACCGCUGUCGACUCUUCCUAUCAUUGUGCAGCAGAAUUCACCAAGCUUUGGAUUGUUCACCCACUAAUAGGGAACGUGAGCUUGGUUUAGACCAUCGUGAGAUGGGUUAAUUUUACCCUACUGAUGGUUGAACUGCGUAAACAAUGAAGUGCAAUCUGGUCGUUGCAAUGUUAAUUCUGUUUUUUACGAGAGGAACCACGGGUUCAGACAUUUGGUGCAUGUGCCUGGUCGAGCGGCCAAUGGUGCGAAGCUACCAUCUGAGGGAUUAAGACUGAACGCCUCUUAGUCUGAAUCCCGUCCAAAGAUGCGCAACGAUACAGUUUGGCCUGCCACGUGGUUGGGCAGAUAUAGUACUUUCCGGUCAGGUUUCAUUCGGAUGGGACCAUCGUGACCUACCGAACCUGGUCGGUCUGGUAUUGUUAUGCCAGACCAUGUGGGGGGAUCGACACGAUAUCCAAUUGUUUUGUGAGCGUGGUAGCACUAAAUUGUGUGUAGACGACUUAAUGUUUUGUCGGGGAGACUUGGGCAUUCGAGAGGCUAUCACACUGCGAGGUAUUGAGUCCUAUCCCUACCCGACGUAAUGAUUG